GCGCCGCCGGGAGGGGUUCCGGUGCCUCUGCCGCUAGCCCUCGCCUUGCUGUUCCGUGCUCCACAGAGACGUAGAGAGCCCCGUAGGUUUCGCAGUCGGCCACGUGUUGACUGAACCCUUAGCCCAGUGCGAGGGGACGCUGAAUGGAGGAGAGAGAGGACUGUGAAGAGAAUUGGAAGGCUGCAGUCUCCUACUGAAAUUGCUCCCGUGUUAGCAGUAAGUGCUUACGGAAUGUGUGGACAGUACAGCAUCAUGAUUAAGAGCCAGGGAUCCAGAGU